CGGCGGACGGGUGAGUAACGCGUGGGUAACCUGCCUCAUACAGGGGGAUAACAGUUAGAAAUAGGCUGCUAAUACCGCAUAAGACCACAGUACUGCAUGGUACAGUGGUAAAAACUCCGGUGGUAUGAGAUGGACCCGCGUCUGAUUAGGUAGUUGGUGAGGUAACGGCCCACCAAGCCGACGAUCAGUAGCCGACCUGAGAGGGUGACCGGCCACAUUGGGACUGAGACACGGCCCAA
rnacentral:rRNA from 1 species